GCAAGAGGUUCGACCCGAGCGAAGCGAGAGAACGUUGCGUCAGCAACGGCCCGCAGGGCGAGCCAUCCUCUAUCACCGGCAG
rnacentral:sRNA from 1 species